GACGAACGCUGGCGGCGUGCUUAACACAUGCAAGUUGAACGAUGAAGCCGGAGCUUGCUCUGGUGAAUUAGUGGCGAACGGGUGAGUAACACGUGAGUAACCUGCCCUUGACUCUGGGAUAACUGCGGGAAACUGUAGCUAAUACCGGAUACGACCCUCGGAGGCAUCUCCUGGGGGUGGAAAGAAUUUCGGUCACGGAGGGACUCGCGGCCUAUCAGCUAGGUGGGGAGGUAAAGGCUCACCAAGGCGACGACGGGUAGCCGGCCUGAGAGGGUGACCGGCCACACUGGGACUGAGACACGGCCCAGACUCCUACGGGAGGCAGCAGUGGGGAAUAUUGCACAAUGGGCGCAAGCCUGAUGCAGCAACGCCGCGUGAGGGAUGACGGCCUUCGGGUUGUAAACCUCUUUUAGCAGGGAAGAAGCGAAAGUGACGGUACCUGCAGAAAAAGCACCGGCUAACUACGUGCCAGCCGCCGCCGUAA
rnacentral:rRNA from 1 species